rnacentral:tRNA from 1 species
CUUAGCUCAACGGUAGAGCAUUCGGCUGUUAACCGACAGGUUGUAGGUUCGAAUCCUAUAG